ensembl:misc_RNA 7SK 7SK RNA
GGAUGUGAGGGUGAUCUGGCUGCGACAUCUGUCACCCCACUGAUCGCCAGGGUUGAUUCGGCUGAUCUGGCUGGGUAGGCGGGUGUCCCCUUCCUCCCUCACUGCUCCAUGUGCGUCCCUCCUGAAGUUGCGUGCUCGGUCCAAGAGGACGGCCUUCCCUGAAUAGAGACGGACUGGUCUUCGGUUGAGGGUAUACGAGUAGCUGCGCUCCCCUGCUAGAACCUCCAAACAAGCUCUCAGGAAGGUAGAGGCAGCAGAAAAGAGCUGACAGCUGUGGUAUA